rnacentral:rRNA from 1 species
AGUUUGAUCAUGGCUCAGAUUGAACGCUGGCGGCAGGCCUAACACAUGCAAGUCGAGCGGAUGAGUGGAGCUUGCUCCAUGAUUCAGCGGCGGACGGGUGAGUAAUGCCUAGGAAUCUGCCUGGUAGUGGGGGACAACGUUUCGAAAGGAACGCUAAUACCGCAUACGUCCUACGGGAGAAAGUGGGGGAUCUUCGGACCUCACGCUAUCAGAUGAGCCUAGGUCGGAUUAGCUAGUUGGUGAGGUAAAGGCUCACCAAGGCGACGAUCCGUAACUGGUCUGAGAGGAUGAUCAGUCACACUGGAACUGAGACACGGUCCAGACUCCUACGGGAGGCAGCAGUGGGGAAUAUUGGACAAUGGGCGAAAGCCUGAUCCAGCCAUGCCGCGUGUGUGAAGAAGGUCUUCGGAUUGUAAAGCACUUUAAGUUGGGAGGAAGGGCAGUAAGUUAAUACCUUGCUGUUUUGACGUUACCAACAGAAUAAGCACCGGCUAACUUCGUGCCAGCAGCCGCGGUAAUACGAAGGGUGCAAGCGUUAAUCGGAAUUACUGGGCGUAAAGCGCGCGUAGGUGGUUCGUUAAGUUGGAUGUGAAAGCCCCG